UACAGAGGAGCCAAGCGUUGUCCGGAUUGACUGGGCGUAAAGCGCACGCAGGCGGACGCGCGCGUGGGGUGUGAAAUCUGGCCGCUUAACGGCCAGGCGCCAUCCCAUACGGCGCGUCUGGAGUGAUGCAGAGGUCGAUGGAAUUGCCGGUGUAGUGGUGAAAUGCGUAGAGAUCGGCAGGAACACCCAGGGGGGAAACCAGUCGACUGGGCAUCUACUGACGCUGAGGUGCGAGAGCGUGGGGAGCGAACCGG
rnacentral:rRNA from 1 species